rnacentral:rRNA from 1 species
GAUGAACGCUGGCGGCGUGCCUAAUACAUGCAAGUCGAGCGAACAGACGAGGAGCUUGCUCCUCUGACGUUAGCGGCGGACGGGUGAGUAACACGUGGAUAACCUACCUAUAAGACUGGGAUAACUUCGGGAAACCGGAGCUAAUACCGGAUAACAUUUUGAACCGCAUGGUUCAACAGUGAAAGGCGGUUUUGCUGUCACUUAUAGAUGGAUCCGCGUCGCAUUAGUUAGUUGGUAAGGUAACGGCUUACCAAGGCAACGAUGCGUAGCCGACCUGAGAGGGUGAUCGGCCACACUGGAACUGAGACACGGUCCAGACUCCUACGGGAGGCAGCAGUAGGGAAUCUUCCGCAAUGGGCGAAAGCCUGACGGAGCAACGCCGCGUGAGUGAAGAAGGUCUUCGGAUCGUAAAACUCUGUUAUUAGGGAAGAACAAAUGUGUAAGUAACUAUGCACGUCUUGACGGUACCUAAUCAGAAAGCCACGGCUAACUACGUG